AUCGCUUCUCGCCUUUUGGCUAAGAUCAAGUGUAGUAGAUCUGUUCUUAUCAGUUUAAUACCUGAUACGUCCUCCAUUCGAGGACUUUAUAUUAAACGGAUUUUUAGAGCGAGGAGCUGGAAGAGGGGCUUGCUCGUCCGCUCCACGCAUCGACCUGGUAUUGCAGUACCUCCAGGAACGGUGCACCUUUU
ensembl:snRNA U2 U2 spliceosomal RNA